CAAGCAUCGAUCAAAGUAAAGAUAAAAUAUCAUCGUACACACGACGAAUUGUUUAUAAUUUCUUCGUAUAACGGAUUUGAUACCACAAUUCACUGAAAUAGCCAUCGAUUAUCGAAAAGGAUUCACGGUGUAUUCUGUUGUAAUUCUCUCUUCUUAUCUCCAAUUCAAAAUUGCGCAAUCGUAGAAAUAAUACUUCGCAUCGUAAACUGCAAGCUUUCAGGCUUCUAGAAAUUAAUUACUAAACGGUUCCACGAUCGUUGAUCCACGGCCGAAGAUCGUUCGUUCAUUUAUUCCAUAAAACACGGUGAUAUCUGGAGGAUUGUAAACUGCGCGCGUGAUUUAAACAGAUUUCAGGAGAAAUUAGGUGCCGGAAACGAUUACAAACGUAUAACAUGGUUAGGUGACUCGAACAUUGGCUCGCCAACGUUAUUUCGGUGUGACGAAUGAAGUGACCGUGACAAGGCGGAACAUCCAAACGCGUGUCUCCACUGGAAUGUUGAUUGAUAGCGAUAAUACGAUUUAUCGGGCAUCUAUAGAUAAAUCUAGAUCUGUUCGAACCAGCGAAUAAAUUUUUGUUGCAUCGUUUCUCGAAAAAUAUGUUGAAGAGUAACACCGUGUCAUCGAUAUCUGCAAUUUAAUAUUACUCAUUUACAAAGCAAGAUAAUAUAACGAUAUUAAAAGAUCUAAUAUUCCCUGGUCGAAACGUGGAAAUAGAAUGCAAGAGACUAUCGACCGACUUGCGCAACGUUGUUGCACCGAUGGUUCUGACAAGGCAAAUCGUUUUUGCCCCGGGUAAUUGAAAUUUACGCGGAACUUAAUCGAAGCCGCCGAAUUAAAGGAGCGUAAGGACAAAUUACACGAGAGCGUCGACUGCAGCUUCUCG